rnacentral:rRNA from 1 species
AAUAGAUACCCCGGUAGUCCGCACCGUAAACGAUGGACACUCGGCGUUCGGAGAGUUAACCCUCUGAGUGCCAAAGUUCACACACUAAGUGUCCCGCCUGGGAAGUACGGUCGCAAGACUAAAACUCAAAGGAAUUGACGGGGGCCCGCACAAGCGGUGGAGUAUGUGGUUUAAUUCGAAGCAACGCGCAGAACCUUACCUGGCCUUGACAUCGCGAGACCGUCUCAGAGAUGAGGCUUUCCCUUCGGGGACUCGUAGACAGGUGCUGCAUGGCUGUCGUCAGCUCGUGUUGUGAAUGUUCGGUUAAGUCCGGCAACGAGCGCAACCCCUGUCCUUAGUUACCAGCCUUAAGUGGGGGUACUCUAGGGAGACUGCCGGUGUUAAACCGGAGGAAGGCGGGGAUGACGUCAAGUCCUCAUGGCCCUUACGGCCAGGGCUACACACGUACUACAAUGGUGAAAACAAAGGGUCGCAAGACCGCGAGGUCAAGCUAAUCUCAAAACCAUCAUCUCAGUCCGGAUUGAAGUCUGCAACUCGACUUCAUGAAGUUGG